AUGAGACACCACAGUUGCUGCUUCUUCCCAGGGGCCUAUCUGCAGAGAAGAUGGAACAAAGGAAGCUUGGCUGCUUUCAGGAACAUCCCCCUAGUGAUGGCAGUCAGCGCUUGGGGCGGUGCUGGGGCACAGCUACAGAGGCCUGAUACAGAGGGGACCACGAAGUGGCCAGAGGCUGGUCCAACAGGAGGAAAUCCUGUGCUCUGCCAGAUUUCAAGUUGGCAGGGCACCUAUGGGCAGAAGAGCAGGUUACUGGAUCUGAACUUGUACUAAAGAAUGUCGGUGAAGGGGCUCGAAUGGUUCAGGAACUCUUUAAAAUGACCAAAACA